rnacentral:piRNA from 1 species
UACACGGAAAGGAAAUUAGAAGUCAACUCA